CCUACGGGUGGCAGCAGUGAGGAAUAUUGGUCAAUGGGCGAGAGCCUGAACCAGCCAAGUCGCGUGAAGGAUGAAGGAUCUAUGGGUUGUAAACUUCUUUUAUAUGGUAAUAAAGUGAGGAACGUGUUCCUUUUUGUAUGUACCAUCUGAAUCAGCAUCGGCUACCUCCUUGCCAGCAGCCGCGGUAAGACGGAGGAUGCGAGCGUUAUCCGGAUUUAUUGGGUUUAAAGGGUGCGUAGGUGGUGAAUUAAGUCAGUGGUGAAAGUGUGUGGCUCAACCAUAAAAUUGCCGUUGAGACUGGUUGACUUGAGUAUAUUUGAGGCAGGCGGAAUGCGUGGUGUAGCGGUGAAAUGCAUAGAUAUCACGCAGAACUCCGAUUGCGAAGGCAGCUUACUAAACUAUAACUGACACUGAAGCACGAAAGCGUGGGGAUCAAACAGGAUUAGAGACCCGUGUAGUC
rnacentral:rRNA from 1 species